GCCGGCGUGGCUCAGUGGUGGAGCGUCGGAUUAGGAACCAGAAGGUCAGGGUUCGAUUCCCGGUCAGGGCA
rnacentral:tRNA from 1 species